UACGGAGGGAGCUAGCGUUGUUCGGAAUUACUGGGCGUAAAGCGCGCGUAGGCGGCUUUGUAAGUUAGAGGUGAAAGCCCGGAGCUCAACUCCGGAACUGCCUUUAAAACUGCAUCGCUUGAAUCCAGGAGAGGUGAGUGGAAUUCCGAGUGUAGAGGUGAAAUUCGUAGAUAUUCGGAGGAACACCGGUGGCGAAGGCGGCAUCCUGGACCGGCAUUGACGCUGAGGCGCGAAAGCCAGGGGAGCAAACGGG
rnacentral:rRNA from 1 species